AAGUCGUAACAAGGUCUCCGUAGGUGAACCUGCGGAGGGAUCAUUACUGAGUUUAUCUAACUCCCAAACCAUUGUGAACUUACCACUGUUGCCUCGGCGGCAGGUCCUCUCUCACGGGAGGCGUGCCGCCGGUGGACUACUAAACUCUUGUUAAUAUUUGUCAUUCUGAAUAACAAAACUUAAUAAGUUAAAACUUUCAACAACGGAUCUCUUGGUUCUG
rnacentral:misc_RNA from 1 species